UGGGGAAUUUUCCGCAAUGGGCGAAAGCCUGACGGAGUGACGCCGCGUGGGGGAUGAAGGCCUUUGGGUUGUAAACCCCUGUCAGAGGGAAAGAAGGGUCGGCGUGUGAAUAGCACGUCGAUCUGACGGUACCUUCAGAGGAAGCCCCGGCCAACUCUGUGCCAGCAGCCGCGGUAAGACAGAGGGGGCAAGCGUUGCUCGGAAUUACUGGGCGUAAAGGGCGCGUAGGCGGGAUGGCAAGUCGGUCGUGAAAUCCCUGGGCUCAACUCAGGGGGGUCGGCCGAUACUGCCGUUCUUGAGGGAUGCAGAGGAGACUGGAAUUCCCGGUGUAGCGGUGAAAUGUGUAGAGAUCGGGAGGAACACCGGUGGCGAAGGCGGGUCUCUGGGCAUUCCCUGACGCUGAGGCGCGAAAGCGUGGGGAGCAAACGGG
rnacentral:rRNA from 1 species